rnacentral:lncRNA from 1 species
CAUACUCUAUGAUCCUGCAGUUCCAGUUUUUGGUAUAUAUGCAAAAGAAAUGUGACAUAUAGUCAUAAAAAAGGGUGAGCUAGAAUGUCCCUAAGACAAUUCUUCUUAAUAGCUUCAAACUAGAAUCAAACCACAUGCCCACCAAGGGUAAAACUGAUUUUUUUUAAUUCAUACAACAGAAUACUAUUCAGCAAUAAGGAUGAAAGCUUAGCCAUGACACAGAAUGAUAACACGGGUAAUAUGAGUAUCCACAGAAUGUAUAGAAUUAAUCUCACAAACUUGACGUUGAACGAAAGAAGCCAGAAACAAGAGAACACACUGCAUGCUAACUAGAAGUAAGUCUACACAAAAUGAAGCAUAUGGAAACACAGAUGAGAGGCAACAAACCAGAGUCACGUCCUAUUUCCUACGGACAGCACUUUCUGAAAGCCAGCAACAGGAAUAUCACAUGGGUAUGGAGCUGACAUCGUCAUUGACCCAUUUUGUGGGUAGAGAGACGGAUACACUUUGAAAGACAGAAACUAUUUUUUUCCUAGAAGAGGAUUUAUAGGAUGACAAUAAACUCAGAAGAGAUUCCCCCUUACA